CACCUGAGAAUCAAAACAAAUAUUCAGGCGAAUAAAUAAGUGCACAAGAGAUAUUUCUUUAGCAAGACAUUUUCACGGAACAGGCAAACCAAACUUUUUCAAUGAACUUUUUUAGGUUUAUGUGUUCAAACUUGCAAACUUUCCGAACUAGUACUUAGCUCGCUUGUCAUUUUUCACUUCACUAUGGGAUCAGAAGUGCACAACAUAUACAAACAUUAACACAAGGAUCAAUUGGGGAAAACAACAGAACACAUAACUGAACAUCAAGGAGAUAAAUAGCAAAAGUCUUUCAACCGAAUUAAAAUUCUAAUUGAACUAGAUUAAAUUUAGAAACUAAACCAAGUGUGUCACGAGUUAGUCAAUGUGGAAGAUCAUCCAAUUUGCUAUCUCUCUCUCUCUCACAUCACCCAGCUGCAGCAACAAACAACAGCAGCACACAAAUGUGCACGCACAACAAGUAGCUAGCAAGCAGCAGGGGCUUCAGGCAACAGGAGACAUCAGCCAAUAGCACACAGUACUACCAUUUUCUGAACUCUCCUUUUCUUUGAUCUUUUUAUUCCUAAAACUUCCACUGGUGAACACGUGAACCUAUCUGCUUUUAUAAUUUUAACUUUUUCAGAAUAGUCAUACCAUGUGUAUACAGCAAGAGUGCCCUCAUAUCUCAAUUUUUAUGUUUGAUACAAUAGCAUUAACCAUAAUUGCGAAAAAAGAGGAUUUUGCAUACACGCCGAUGGUGCUAAUGCCAAAUAUAAUCUAGCCAUGCUCAACAUCCAGUAAGGAUGAAAAAUGCAAUUCAUGUUGUUAAUAGAUCAUACAGCCUCAGAAUUCCGUACUUAAUUAUUUCACAACAUGUAAACGCUCCCACGAUUAAACUUGUACUAGCAUCAAUGCUCCACUUGGACGGCUGCCAGCACCCCUGGUGGAUGAGCUCGCGCCCCAGUGCAGCAAGGCGACCAACAAGAACUGUACACGGUCGUUCUUUUUCUCAGCAACGAAACACAACGAGGUGGGGGUGAGGAAGGGAAGCAGGGUAUGGGUUCCUGAUGCACCAGUUCCUGAUGUGAAGGCCGGCUGCCUAGCUCGUCGUUGUUGAACUGAACCGCGCGCCCCUGUCGAACUACUGAAAGAUUUUAGUAUGGGUUAGAUAUAGUUUCAAACUCAUACCUGAAAAUCCCAUCUCCAAAUACGCAUGUAAAGCUUCAGAGUUGGAAGUAAUCUAAAUAGAGCCAUCUCAAAACAUUGAACUUAUACAUAUAUGCAUGAACGAAACAGGUGCAAGCAAUUUUUAUAACAAUUUAACUUGUAGUAAACUAUUCUAUAACAAAAACUAAACUAUUUUUUGUAAGGAUACAUGGACUCCGAGGGCAUCAAUACAUGUACUUCUGUACAUAAUAGCUCUCCCUAGUGAACUAUGAUAAGCCCAAAUAAAAAUGGGAGCACGAAUGGCUCCCAUCUAUGGUAUCUCAAUAAACACAAAUUCUCCUAUUUAGAGGAUCACACAGCUCACAUCUCGGAAAAAUAACACACAGAGCACACACGAUGCAUGCCCGCACAACAUCAGACCCAAUUCCUGAACUUACAUCAGGGAAACAAAUGUUGGAACGUCCGAGACAGUAGUGUGUGAACUUGUUGAUGAAAACAUAAAGCAUGCUGAAAUAUUUAACGAAACAUGCUAAAAUUGGUCAUGUUUAGUGAUCAGGAAAAUAUUUAGAGAUCACUGUUCGAAAUCUUCGUUUGUAAACUCUUAAGCGAGCAAUGAUUAAACAUACGUAGAGAUACAAGGAUGAGAUGACGAAAGCUAAACUUUAGGAGAUGUCGAAGAAGAACACCCAACGACGGUGGUCAAAUAAUUUUGUAGGCCACAGGAAUUUAAAAAAUGAACGACGGGUUUUCUAACUAGAGAACUGUAGGGACUAGAAAAAAUGGAACUACCCUAUUAUAAGGAAAUGAAGAGAGUUAAAAAAACGCUAACAAGUACUACUAAAUAGGACGAAUACAAAGAACUGCUUACAGCACCUCAACUUGCCUUAGGGACAAAGGCAUCCCUGAACUUGGUCAUCCAAAGACAACAUACCUGAACUCGGCGUAGACUGGUAGUUGAACUUGGUACACAUCCACACUAGCACUAGCAGCACAAGUCGUGGUGGGUACCAGGGGUGUCAGUUUGGCGCUUGACAUGUAAGAUGAUCUGCAAACAAACACAAAGGUGAAACUGAAAAUUUUGUUUUUUUUACGUAUAACCAUACAAAAACAUCUAUGGAUUUCACACUUCAAAAUGGGUUCAAACAACACUUCUAUGCAAUACGUCCGAGCUAGCGUCCAUUCAUCCAGCCCUCUGUGUUUCAUCACUUGACACGAGCAAGCACGUACCUCGGCCUGGACAUCUUGUACAGGUGAACGGACAAGGGUGGUGACUGUGAACGGCCAGGUCACACCGGCGGCGGGGCCCCGCCGGGAGGAGAUGGCGCGGUGGUGUGGGAACCAGGGGAGAUGGGCCGCUGCGGCUGCCGGGGACAGUGCUCUGAACUGAAAUUCAGUUUUUUCAAGAAGUGUAUGAGUGCAUGUUGUUCUGAACCAGGAGCAGGUUCUCAUAUGUACUCUUUUGUUAGAGGAUUAAUGUCAAUGAUGCAUCGCUUUUGAUGCUUCUUUACGCACAAAAGCUAAUUAGAAAUUCUGUAAUAUUUUUAAUGAAAGAACAAUAGAGGAGGGAGAUGACCUGGAGCACAACUUGUAGGCGACGACCUAGUUCCUCCAUGAAGACUCUGACCCAUGGUGAGAGGUGAGUCUGUAGGGUGUGCCAGCAAGCCAUCACCGGGAGACGGUAGGACCUCGCCGGCCUCUCACUUGAGGAGGUGCUCGACAGCCUGGCCCUUGUGUGCGCCAAGGGGGAGCAGAGACUCCGAUGCUCGUCACCGUCGAACUGAACCUCACGCCUCUGUUGAACUGCUGAAAUAUUUACGGGUUAGAUACAGUGCCAAACUAGUACCUGAAAAUCUCAUCUCCAAAUAUGCAUGUCAAUCUUCACAGUUGGAAGUAAUCUGAGCUAUCUCAAAACAUCAAACUGAUACAAACAUGCAUGAACGAAACAGGUACAAGCAAUACAAACAAUGAAUAUGAGGUGAACUCUAUAUGAAUAAGAACAAACUUAAAAUAAGACUUUUUGAACUGAAUUAAAAUAAUAAAUUCUAUUAAACACCUAAAGAGCGUAUUCUUUUUCACAUCUUCCCAACUACUCAAUUAGCACAACAUGUGUACGCAUUUUAAUAGCAGAAGAAAACUCAGAGAGAGAUUGUUGUGAGAGUGUCGUAAACACAUGCAGAGGACUACCAUCAGCUCUCAACUUGGACAGCUGCCAGCAACCAUUGUGGACCGACCGAUGGUGGUGUGGCCCAACCAGAGGAGGUCGGUGGCUGCGCGAUGCAUUGUUGGGACGACGCAUAAGAAUUAAACUGAACGAAUUUUAGAUAUUGACUUGAACCGAAAGAAUAAACUGGACAUCACCCGUACAUUAGCUUUUAUUUGACAACACAUAAACAUAAGAUGUACUAUGUUUGGGAAAGGAGGCGGUGCUGCGGGGAGGCAACGACAACUUUUCCUGAUGUACUAUGCUUUCUAUUUCAAUGCUCACACUAGCCAGGCGAGUAGAAGUUGUCCCAUGUUUUGUUAUGCAAGGGGGAAACACAUAAUCUUUUUAUAGCUUACUUUCUUUGAGAGGAAGUGGAAGAAGGAUUAACUAAUACUUGUUCUUAGCAGAGUAAAUAUAUUUGAACCAAGAUGAUUUAACUGGUUGAACUGAGGCAGUCAAACUGAUUAGCACAUCUAGGUAUAAUGAGACGAGAUAACUAGUUGAACUGAGACAGAUUAGCACCACUAAUACAAUAUUAUACUAUAAAAAUGACUCUGAUUCCAGUAGCUCAACAAGCAUCAAAUUCUUCCUCAAACUUCCAGUCCUGGAACCAUAAUCGGUCUAUGUUCUAACAAACAAUUAACAUGCACAGUAGGAAUGAUGUAUCUCUUUAAUGAGUGAACUGCCUCGAACAAACACAUGUGAUUAGUUGGUUUCGCCCAAGGAGCAUGCUUAGCAUGACCGGAGCGUAGAUUGUAAUGUACAUCUGGGCUAUUCUGUUACGCGUAACAGAAUAUUAUUCUGUUACCCUACAUGAACUGAGGAAAUCAAUCGGUUGAACUGAUGGAAUUCGAGCGGUUGAACUGAUGCUUUCUGUUUCUGUUAAAAAUCGUCUUUUUUAGUUCAAUAUAAUAGCAUGGAACAAUAAAAAAUUAUUGAUACGUUGGAGACGUAUCAAGCAUCCCCGAGCUUAAUUCCUUCUCAUCCUCGAGUAGGUAAAUGAUAAAAACAGAAUUUUUGAUGUGGAAUGCUACCUAGCAUAUUUCUCAAUGUAAUUUUCUUUAUUGUGGCAUGAAUGUUCAGAUCCAAAUGAUUCAAGAUAAAAGUUCAUAUUGACAUGAAAACAAUAAUACUUCAAGCAUACUAACAAAGGAAUCAUGUAUUCUCAAAAUAACAUGGCUAAAGAAAGCUAUCCCUACAAAAUCAUAUAGUCUGUCUAUGCUCUAUCUUCAUCACACAAAAUAUUUAAAUCGUGCACAACCCCGGUUUUAGCCAAGCAAUUGUUUCAUACCUUAGUAUUCUUAAAAAAUUUCAAUAUUCACGCAAUACAUGAGCGUGAGCCAUGGACAUAGCACUAUAUGUGGAAUAGGAUGGUGGUUGUGGAGAAGACAAAAAAGAGAAGAUAGUCUCACAUCAACUAGGCAUAUCAACGGGCUAUAAGUGUAUGAAAGCUCAAAAAGAAACUAAGUGGGUGUGCAUCCAACUUGUUUGCUCACGAAGAUCUAGGGCAAUUUGAGGAAGCCGAUCAUGGAAUAUACAAGCCAAGUUCUAUAAUGAAAAAUUCCCACUAGUAUAUGAAAGUGACAACAUAGGAGACUCUCUAUCAUGAAGAUCAUGGUGCUAAUUUGAAGAACAAGUGUGGUAAAAGGAUAGUAAUAUUGUCCCUUCUCUCAUUUUCUCUCAUUUUUUUGGUGGGCUUGUUUGGCCUAUUUUUUUAUUUGGGCUUCUUUGGCCUCUUUUAUUUUUCAUAAAGUCCGGAGUCUCAUCCCUACUUGUGGGGGAAUCAUAGUCUCCAUCAUCCUUUCCUCACUUGGGACAAUGCUCUAAUAAUGAAGAUCAUCACACUUUUAUUGAUUUACAACUCAAGAAUUACAACUCAAUACUUAGAACAAAAUAUGACUCUAUGUGGAUGCCUCCGGCGGUGUACUGGGAUAUGCAAUAAAUCAAGAGCGACAUGUAUGAAAGAGUUAUAAAUGGUGGCUUUGCCACAAAUACGAUGUCAACUACAUGAUCAUGCAAAAAGAAAUAUGACAAUGAUGGAGCGCGUCAUAAUAAACGGAACGGUGGAAAGUUGCAUGGCAAUAUAUCUCGGAGUGGCUAUGGAAAUUCCAUAAUAGGUAGGUAUGGUGGCUGUUUUGAGGAAGGUAAAUGGUGGGUGUAUGGUACCAGCCAAAGUUGCAUGGCACAAGAGAGGCUAGCAAUGGUGGAAGGGUGAGAGUGCAUAUAAUCCAUGGAAUCAACAUUAGUCAUAAAGAUCUCACAUAAUUAUUGCAAAAAUCUACAAGUCAUCAAAACAAAGUACUACACGCAUGCUCCUAGGGGAAGGGUUGGUAGGAGUUAACCAUCGCGCGAUCCCGACCUCCACACAUAAGGAAGACAAUCAAUAAAUAAAUCAUGCUCCAACUUCAUAACAUAACGGUUCACCAUACGUGCAUGCUACGGGAAUCACAAACUUUUAACACAAGUAUUCCCCAAAUUCACAACUACCCAACUAGCAUGACUCUAAUAUUACCAUCCUCAUAUCUCAAAACAAUCAUCAAGCAUCAAAUUGAUCAUAGCGUUCAAUGCACUCUAUAUGAUAGUUUUUAUUAUACCCAACUUGGAUGCCCAUCAUAUUAGGACUAAUUUCAUAACCAAAGAAAAUACCAUGCUGUUCUAAAAGACACUCAAAAUAAUAUAAGUGAAGCAUGAGAGAUCAAUAAUUUCUACAAAAUAAAACCACCGCCGUGCUCUAAGAAGAUAUAAGUGAAGCACUAGAGCAAAAUUGUCUAGCUCAAAAGAUAUAAGUGAAGCACAUAGAGUAUUCUAAUAAAUUCCGAUUCAUGUGUGUCUCUCCCAAAAGGUGUGUAAAGAAAGGAUGAUUGUGAUAAACUAAAAAGCAAAGACUCAAAUCAUACAAGAUGCUCCAAGCAAAACACAUAUCAUGUGGUGAAAAAAAGUAUAGCUCCAAGUGAAGUUACCGAUAGACGAAGACGAAAGAGGGGAUGCCUUCCGGGGCAUCCCCAAGCUUAGGCUUUUGGUUGUCCUUGAAUUUACCUUGGGGUGACUUGGGCAUCACCAAGCUUGGGAUCUUUCCACUCCUUAUUCCAUAUUCCGUCGAAUCUUUACCCAAAACUUGAAAACUUCACAACACAAAACUCAACAGAAAACUUGUAAGCUCCGUUAGUAUAAGAAAAUAAAACCACCACUUGGGUACUAAUGUGAACUCAUUAUAAAUUCAUAUUGGUGUAACAUAUACUGUAUAACAACUUCUCUAUGGUUCAUACCCUCCGAUACUACUCAUAGAUUCGUCAAAAUAAGCAAACAACACAUAGAAAACAGAAUCUGUCAAAAACAGAACAGUCUGUAGUAAUCUGUAUCAUUUGAAUACUUUUGUAACUCCAAAACUUCUACCAAAUUAGUAAAACCUGAUAAAUUUGUGUAAAAUCCAGAAAAAAAAGAAUCAAAUCGAAAUCACGUUUCUGUGAAUUAUCAAAAUUAAUUUACUGGGUGCAGAAGUUUCUGAUUUCCAGCAGGAUCAACACAACUAUCACCGUAAGCUAUCCUAAAGGUCUUACUUGGCACUUUAUUGAAACAAAAGCUAUAAAAACAUGAUUACUACAGUAGCAUAAUCAUGUGAACACACAAUAACAUUAAUGGUAAAUAUUGGGUUGUCUCCCAACAAGCGCUUUUCUUUAAUGCCUUUUAGCUAGGCAUGAUGAUGACAAUGAUGCUCACAUAAAAGAUAAGAAUUGAAACACAAUGGGAGCAUCAUGAAGCAUAUGAAUAACACAUUUAAGUCUAACCCACUUCCUAUGCAUUGGGAGUUUGUGAGCAAACAACUUAUGGGAACAAUAAUCAACUAGCAUAAGAAGGCAAAACAAGCUUAACUUUAAAACUUUAAGCACAUAGAGAGGAAACUUGAUAUUAUUGCAAUUCCUACAAGCAUAUAUUCCUCCCUCAUAAUAUUUUUUAGUACAAUCAUGAAUGAAUUCAAAAAUAUAACUAUCACAUAAACCAUUCUUUUCAUGAUCUACAAGCAUAGAAUUUUAUUACUCUCUGCAUAAGCAAAAUUCUUCUCAUGAAUACUAGUGGGAGCAAACUCAACAAAAUAACUAUAUUGUGAAGCAUAAUCCAAUUGAAAAUUAAAAUCAAGAUGACAAGUUUCAUGGUUAUCUUUAUUGUUCAUAGCAUACGUGUCAUCACAAUAAUCAUCAUUAAUAGGAGGCAUGCUUUCCUCUUAAUAAAUUUGCUCAUCAAAACUUUGGGGACAAAAAUAUCAUCUUUAUCAAACAUAGCUUCCCCAAGCUUGUAGCUUUGCAUAUCAUCAGCAUCAUGGGUAUUCAAAGAAUUCAUACUAACAACAUUGCAAUCAUGCUCAUCAUAAAAAGAUUUAGUGCCAAACAUUCUAAUGCAUUCUUCUUCUAGCACUUGAGCACAAUUUUCCUUUCCAUCAUUUUCACUAAAGAUAUUAAAAAGAUGAAGCAUAUGAGGCAACCUCAAUUUCAUUUUUUGUAGUUUUCUUUUAUAGACUAAACUAGUGAUAAAACAAGAAACUAAAAGAUUCGAUUACAAGAUGUAAAGAUAUACCUUCAGGCACUAACCUCCCCGGCAAUGGCGCCAGAAAAGAGCUUGAUGUCUACUUCGCAACCUUCUUCUUGUAGACGUUGUUGGGCCUCCAAGUGUAGAGGUUUGUAGGACAGUAGCAAAUUUCCCUCAAGUGGAUGACGUAAGGUUUACAAUCCGUGGGAGGCGUAGGAUGAAGGUGGUCUCUCUCAAACAACACUACAACCAAAUAACAAAGAGUCUCUUGUGUCCCCAACACACCCAAUACAAUGGUAAAUUGUAUAGGUGCACUAGUUCGGCGAAGAGAUGGUGAUACAAGUGCAAUAUGGAUGGUAGAUAUAGGUUUUUGUAAUCUGAAAUUAUAAAAACAGCAAGGUAACUAAUGAUAAAAGUGAGCACAAACAGUAUUGCAAUGCUAGGAAACAAGGCCCAAGGUUCAUACUUUCACUAGUGCAAGUUCACUCAACAAUAAUAACAUAACUGGAUCAUAUGACUAUCCCUCAACAUGCAACAAAGAGUCACUCCAAAGUCACUUAUAGCGGAGAACAAACUAAGUGAUUAUGGUAGGGUACGAAACCACCUCAAAGUUAUCCUUUCUGAUCGAUCUAUUCAAGAGUCCAUAGUAAAAUAACAUGAAGGUAUUCUUUCCCUUUGAUCUAUCAUAGAGUUCGUACAAGAAUAACACCUUAAGACACAAAUCAACCAAAACCCUAAUGUCACCUAGAUACUCCAAUGUCACCUCAAGUAUUCGUGGGCAUGAUUAUACGAUAUGCAUCACACAAUCUCAGAUUCAUCUAUUCAACCAACACAAAGUACUUCAAAGAGUGCCCCAAAGUUUCUACUGGAGAGUCAAGACAAAAAUGUGUGCCAACCCCUAUGCAUAAGUUCAUUGAACCCGCAAGUUGAUCACCAAAACAUACAUCAAGUAGAUCACGUGAAUAUCCCAUUGUCACCACAGAUAAGCACGGCAAAACAUACAUCAAGUGUUCUCAAAUCCUUAAAGACUCGAUCCGAUAAGACAACUUCAAGGGGAAACCUCAAUUCUACACAAGAGAGUAGAGGGGGAGAAACAUCAUAAGAUCCAACUAUAAUAGCAAAGCUCGCGAUACAUCAAGAUCGUGCCAUAUCAAGAACACGAGAGAGAGAGAGAGAGAGAGAGAGAGAGAGAGAGAGAGAGAGAGAUCAAACACAUAGCUACUAGUACAUACCCUCAGCCCCAACGGUGAACUACUCCCUCCUCGUCAUGGAGAGCGCCGGGAUGAUGAAGAUGGCCACCGGUGAUGGAGUCCCCCUCCGGCAGUGUGCCAGAACGAGCUCCCGAAAGGUUUUUUGUGUCUACAGAGGCUUGCGGUGGCGGAACUCCCGAUCCAUUGUGCUCCUGGAAGUUUUUGGGGUAUAUGGAUAUAUAUAGACGAAAGAAGUCGGUUAGGGGAGCCACGAGGGGCCCGUGAGGGUGGGGGCGCGCCCGGGGGGUAGUGCGCGCCCAGGACCCUCGUGGCUUCCUCGAAGCUUCCCUGAUGUCUACUCCAAGUCUCUUGGAUUGUGUUCAUUCUAAAAAUAACUCUCCCGAAGGUUUCAUUCCGUUUGGACUCCAUUUGAUAUUCCUUUUCUUUGAAACACUGAAAUAGGCAAGAAAACAACAAUUUGGUUUGGGCCUCCGGUUAAAUAGGUUAGUCCCAAAAAUAAUAUAAAAGUGUGUAUAGUAAAGCCCAUUAAACAUUCAAAACAGAUAAUAUAAUAGCAUGGAACAAUAAAAAAUUAUAGAUACAUUGGAGACGUAUCACCAACCCUAAAAGCACAUGACAACCUCUGCUUCCCUCUAUGAAGGGCCUAUCUUUUAUUCUUGUCUUACACAUUAUGCAAAGAGUCAUGGUGAUCUACACCUUUCCUUUUUUACAUUUUAUCCUUUGGCAAGCACCUUGUGUUGGAUAUAUAUAUAUAUAUAUAUAUAUAUAUAUAAAUAUAUAUAUAUAUAUAUAUAUAUCCAAUUGGAUGUAAGUUAGUAUGAACUAUUAUUGUUGACAUUACCCUUGAGGUAAAAGGUUGGGAGGCAACAUUAUAAGCCCCUAUAUUUCUCUGUGUCCGGCUAAAACUCCAUACCCAUAAGUAUUGCGUGAGUGUUAGCAAUUGUGAAAGACUAAAUGAUAGUUGAGUAUGUGGAUUUGCCGAAAAGCUCUUAUAUUGAUUCUUUCCGAUGUUAUNNNNNNNNNNNNNNNNNNNNNNNNNNNNNNNNNNNNNNNNNNNNNNNNNNNNNNNNNNNNNNNNNNNNNNNNNNNNNNNNNNNNNNNNNNNNNNNNNNNNNNNNNNNNNNNNNNNNNNNNNNNNNNNNNNNNNNNNNNNNNNNNNNNNNNNNNNNNNNNNNNNNNNNNNNNNNNNNNNNNNNNNNNNNNNNNNNNNNNNNNNNNNNNNNNNNNNNNNNNNNNNNNNNNNNNNNNNNNNNNNNNNNNNNNNNNNNNNNNNNNNNNNNNNNNNNNNNNNNNNNNNNNNNNNNNNNNNNNNNNNNNNNNNNNNNNNNNNNNNNNNNNNNNNNNNNNNNNNNNNNNNNNNNNNNNNNNNNNNNNNNNNNNNNNNNNNNNNNNNNNNNNNNNNNNNNNNNNNNNNNNNNNNNNNNNNNNNNNNNNNNNNNNNNNNNNNNNNNNNNNNNNNNNNNNNNNNNNNNNNNNNNNNNNNNNNNNNNNNNNNNNNNNNNNNNNNNNNNNNNNNNNNNNNNNNNNNNNNNNNNNNNNNNNNNNNNNNNNNNNNNNNNNNNNNNNNNNNNNNNNNNNNNNNNNNNNNNNNNNNNNNNNNNNNNNNNNNNNNNNNNNNNNNNNNNNNNNNNNNNNNNNAGUGACGCUAAACUAAGCGAGCGUGCAUAAUAGCUAAUCGUACGCGCUGGUCCUAAUUAGGCGGGCACGUCGCUCCAGGAAUAGACCUCUACUGUGCUAAUUGAUUGAGGGUAAACUGGUAGAAGAAAUAGUAAUGGGUUUAAUUUGGUUACCAUCCCGUGCGAUCCACGUACACCCUGGCCAGACGAGCCACUCACCAAGAAUGGUAAAAGUGCUAGCAUAUAUCAUAAUGGGCUGCCAUGCAUGCACUGCACUUUCGUCCCGUGGUUCCUGUUUGCUAAUGACAGUAAAAGUUGUUGGCGUAUGUGGUAAAGGAAUUAAGAGCUUUCUUGGACGCACACACUCCGCCUACAACUCCUAUGAUGAAUGACAGUAAACAUAGUGGUAGAUAUGCUAACCAGAAUUAAACCAUUACUGGCUGACACAUUCCACACCUACAUUCUCAUAUCGUAAAAUAUUCUGGCCACAUAGUAAUGCCGAAACGAGAAAAGGUGUUACUUGUAGUAAAUGCUUUAACAGAGACCCACUGAUAGUAAUAGUGUUACUACUGUAGUACGUGGUAGGUGUAUUACCAUCCUGUAGUUGGCAUUACGAUGAAAUAUUAGGGAUUGACACUGAUUUUUUACAUGGAGUGGAGAGAUGUUCAUAAUCCACCCUAGUAAAGUUACAUGGGAAACAUGGUAAUGACACUAAUUGGGUUACUAUCUUCCUACACCACUCCGCCUCACACAGACUUAAAUCCAGGCUGGUAAAAUGAUGGUCAAACAUAGUAAGUUAAUUGGAUUACCGCCUCCCGCACAUCACUCCAUCACAAUUUUUCUAAAUCCACCCCGAUAAAAUUGUCCAGCAAAAAUUGUUAUUGAAUUAAAAAAAUAAAAAAUCUAAUGGAAUUAAUUUGUUUAUCAUCCGCAACACACAACUCGUGCACUAGCAGAAUUUAAUCUACCAUGCUACUUGAUGCAUUACUAUGAAGGGCGUUCACAUCAACAAGAAAUGGAGCAUGUGUAGUAGUAAGCCAGAAGUAACUACUUGUACUAAUCUCGUAUUUUUAAUAACAAUUAGCACUAUGGUAUAAAUUAGUUUGAUUUACAAAAUGACAGACUCUUGCAUAUUACAAGGUUUAAUACUACAAUUGCUCCAUUUACUAGAUAUUAUAAAUUUAUUACUCAGACCAACGUCGUAACACAAUUACCAACUCGUAUUCAUUAGAAAAAUAAUCAUACAAUUUUCACUUUUUUGGAUGGCUCUUUUACUAGAAGACAGGUAAUUACUUUUGGUGUUUUGCUAUGUUCCACAUUACUGUUACCCCUUGUACAUGCAUGCGGUAAACAUUUUUAUUUCAUUACUGUGUUUGCAAGGGAUUUUACUAGUAUGGAAAUUAAGUGAAUAGCUAGUACUGGUGUGGCACUAGCAGGUCUAGUGUAUGCAACAGGUAACAAAUUUUGUUUCGUUACUACGUUUUGGAUGAAUUUUACUAGAAGGUAUUAGUGAGUAGCUAGUACGGGACAGGUUGGUAGGCUAGUGCAUCUAGUCAGUAGCGGAUUUACUUCGGUUACUACGAUUUACAAGGGAAUUUACGAGGAUGUUGUAGAUGAAUACCUAGUAGGGGCGGGGCGGAGGAUUGCUGCAUGCAUCUAGUAAUGGAUUUAAUCCCGUUACUUUUUUUGCCAUGGGAUAUUACUAGGAGAGGGGAUGUGAUUAGUUUGUUUCGCCCAAGGAGCGUGCUUAGCAUGACCGGAGCGUAGAUUGUAAUGUACAUCUAGGCUAUUCUGUUACAUGUAACAGAAUAUUAUUCUGUUACCCUACUUGAACUGAGGAAAUCAAUCGGUUGAACUGAUGGAAUUCGAGCGGUUGAACUGAUGCUUUCUUUUUCUGUUAAAAAUCGUCUUUUUUAGUUCAAUAUUUUUUGCAAUUCUUUUGUCCAAACGGGGCGUAUAAUAUAUCGUUGGAAAGCUCUUGACAUCUACAUUACAAUCUAAUAACUUUUUUGGCAAAAAAAUUAUGGUUUAAGAGCAGUUUCAAAAAACCAUUUUUUCAAAACCGAAAACGUGAAUCGUAUUUUGGACUUAAUUUUCAAACGGUUUGUCGGAAUUAAGCAAAUGAGAUGGCGUUGGAAAGCUUGUGAAAAUCCGCAUCUUCCAUAUAUCUACUAUUUUUUUAAAUUCUGUAUGAUUUAAAAGUAAUUUGAAAAAUGAUGAAAUUCUGGGCGAAACAUAUUUUCUCUAUUUUUUGCAAAGAGUUUAUUGGAUUGGCGCCAAUGAUACGGCGUUGGAAAGUUAUGGAAAAUGCGCAAUUAUUGUGUAUAGAAAGUUUUUUCUAAUUCCUUAUAGUUUAAAUACGAAUUCAAAUACGGUUAAAGUUGGUUUUGAAUGUGAUUUUGUUAAAAAGUUUAUUUAAAUGGGGCAAAUAAUAUAUGAUUGGAAAGCUACUGAAAAUGUGAAACUUAGUCAUGUUGAAAAUUUUCUCAAAUUCGCAAUUGAUAAAGAGUAAUUUUUGAUACGGCAAGACGGAUCCUGCUGUUUUCCCGUCUGAAAAACAGAGCACUCAUACUGAUAUAUGUGUGUGUUUGUACUGAGCUAUUUUUUGUAGAGUAAUUUUGAAUUGUUCUAAAAAAAGUACGUGUACUGAUGUUUGCAUGGGUUUGUACUAAGCGUGUUUUCACUAACUAGACUUUGCUCUGUUUUUUGGUAAUAUUUUUUGCUCGUAAGUUUUCAACGGUUUACUAUAUCGUCGCCCCUGUACUUGCAUGGUUUGUAUCAUCGAACUGAAUGAUAUUUUAUUAAAAAGUAAAAUGUUUUUUAUUUGUUUUUGAACUAAACAUUUUUUUACAACGAUGUUCUAGACUUCUCUUACUUCACGACUUGUACUUUUACCAUUUGAAUUACCUUGUGUGGAUGAGCACUUGAACUUAUAGAAUUUAAAGUUUUUUGUUUUAAUUCUUAUUUAUUUUCUUUUCCGAACUUAUGGUAUCAUUAUCACUCAACCUGCAUGGUUUCUAUAGCUGAACUAAAACAAACUUUUUACACAAAUAAAUUUGAACACUAGGACUUUUGUAUAAGAACUAAAUCUAAUGCCAAUAUUGAAUUUGCAGGUUCCAUACGCAAGCUAGCUACCAACAUCAACUUUACUGAUCCUAAAAUCAAUCACCACCACAAAAACACAAUAAAGUUCUCCAAAUGGUUGCUCGAGGAAGAGCUAGUUGCUCAAUCCGACCACAUUUACUGCUUGGAGCAGCCAACCACCUGUUUGUAGAAGGAUUUAGCGACGUCGGCGGCCGCCAUCUUGCACCUGAGAAUCAAAACAAAUAUUCAGGUGAAUAAAUAAGUGCACAAGAGAUAUUUCUUUAGCAAGACAUUUUCACGGAACAGGAAAACCAAACUUUUUCAAUGAACUUUUUUAGGUUUAUGUGUUCAAACUUGCAAACUUUCCGAACUAGUACUUAGCUCGCUUGUCAUUUUUCACUUCACUAUGGGAUCAGAAGUGCACAACAUAUACAAACAUUAACACAAGGAUCAAUUGGGG
rnacentral:lncRNA from 1 species